rnacentral:tRNA from 1 species
GUCGGGAUAGCUCAGUUGGUAGAGCANAGGACU